GCGCAGUCGCAGAGCAACGGCUACCUCAACAAGACGUGGGAAAAUGAGGGUCAGAGGGCGCCGUUCGCCCAUCCCAAUCCCAUCGCCACAGUGAAAAGCUAUAAACCUACGCCUCUGGCUCCUCUGGCUCUACCUCUUCAACUCUCAUGUAUCUUCCUUCUCCGCUCCUUGUCUCCUCAUCGUCCUCCUCUUCUGCAGUUCUGCUUCACCAUCUUCGCCUUCGUCGGGAUCAACAAGGGCGCCAGCGAGCAGGCGAGGUCAUCUCCGGCCGGCCGCCGGGGUUCCAACUUACAAGAAGUACUGCCGACCGUGGCUAGUCCUCACCUCAUCGUCCUCCUCUUCUACUUCUGUGCUUCACCGCACUGUGUUCACCUUCAUCGUGAGUCCACUCUAUACCAUAAAUCCUAAAUCCCUAAUCCUAUUACAUAUUGGAAAUGGAAGAUCUCUCCGUGGAUUUAGAUCUGGUCUCGUUGGAAAAUGGAAAGCUGAUGUGUUCGGAGUAUAGCUCAGAGCCUCAGAUCGUUCGAGCUUUAGCUUUCUUGAUAGUUUUGUUCGGAAAUAUUUUUUUGCUUUGGAGAGCCCAUGUGGGGCAUUUUAAUACUCGUUCUCCCGGGAGAGAGAGCUCAGAGAGUGACGAAGACUCUGAACAGGGGCAUCUCCGAGUUUGUUGUGAUGGCGGCGGAUACAGAGCCACUUGAAAUUCUUCUACAUCUUCCUCAGCUUUCAGAGGAUAAGGUAUGCAUUUUCUCUGAUAGCUUAUUAAUUGAAGAUUAUCGUCCUUGCUACUGCUGUUAUUUUUCCGUUUUGUGCCUGUAUGUGGGAGUUGAGGUGUGAUUCGUGUGAAGUGAGGAUGGCGCCAACACUAGUGACGGCAUAAGCUUUUAUCAGAAAACUAAGUUUCUACCCUAGCUUCAAAUGGUUGGUAAAUAGGUGGUUCUAUUUUGCAUUUAUUAAAAAAUUUUUAUUAUUUUUUAAAAAAGGCCUUUUUUAAUGAGUUCGCCUUAGGCCCCUAAAUGCAUUGGGCCACCCCUGCCUAGUUACUAAUAAUUUUGAAAAUGAUCUAAAAAACACUGGAGAAAUCUAUGCCCUUGUGAUCAAAGGAGGGGAGGCCAAACCGGUGGAGUUUCCAAGAGAUGUGCACCCCCUACUCCAAGACCUCAAGGACAUGAUGCCCGAGGAGUUACCUAACGGCCUUCCUCCCAUGCGAGACAUUCAGCACCAAAUCGAUCUCAUACUUAGUGCUAGCCUCCCAAACCUUCGACACUACCAGAUGAGCCCCAAGGAGCACGAGAUCCUGCAGAACCAAGUGGAGGAUUUGAUCCACAAAGGACUAGUUCGCGAAAGCAUGAGCCCUUGCGUGGUACCAGCGCUGCUGACCCCCAAAAAGGAUGGAAGCUAGAGGAUGUGCAUCGACAGCCACGCUAUCAACAAAAUCACCAUCAAGUACCACUACCCUAUCCCCCGCCUGGACAACAUGCUCGAUAUGCUAGAAGGCCGUGUGCAGGUUUAACGUAAAGUAUGGCUGAUGCCGAGGACAUUCAACCCCUUGUCUAUAACAAUGGAACAGGGAUGGUGAAGGCUGGAUUUGCUGGAGAUGAUGCCCCCCGAGCUGUUUUUCCAAGUAUUGUUGGCCGGCCCGAUGGUUGGGAUGAGACAAAAAGAUGCUUAUGUUGGUGAUGAGGUAUAACGACCCAGGACCUCACCCAAAAUGACUAGCCGGAAGGUAUUAUUUGGGUUUCUUGAUUCUGUAUAAAUACCCAAGAUCUAUCAAGCGAAUAACCGAUGUGGGACUAAACACACGCUCGCACGAGUCCUCACAUAUUCCUCCCGUUCAAGCCCUAAUGUCCUUAUUAGGCUAAGGUUUCAAAUCCAUUCAAA